AAAUUUUAUAGUUUCCCCAUGCCCGCUAAACCUUCUCCCCUAAUAUUCAGUUUCCUCCAAAACUAUUCACAUUCUAAACCCUAAGUGUGCCCCCAUAUUUGACAUCUCUCUAGUGAUAAUUGCGAAGGCUUCUCCGACGGAAUCUUUGCCACAGACCCGUAGUGAAGACGGAGAACCCACAUGCGAAGAUGGACGUCUUGUUCGCAAAGUUGCCACUUAGUUCAACCACAUUAAGAUCCGUUCCGUCAAGUGGAGGUACUCAUCUUUGAUUGCUGUAAAUUGAUUUUAGUUUUCUCAAUUCGUCAUUCUCAGAGUAAAGGUAAAUAUAUUUUGAUUCUGUUAAUCUAAAGCCUAAAUUAUAGCUACAGUCUCCGUUACCCCAUACAAAAGUUAUUGGCAUCGUUGAACCCAAUCUAUGCUACUAGAUUUCAACCAGUUCCUUCACCCAUAAUUAUGGCCUUGUUGGAUGGAGGUAACCAUUUAAAAGAGGGAGAGGCGGUUGCCUCACAGCCACCCUAUGCAACUUAUAAAGUAGCCAUAGUUUAUUAGAUGUUUUUUUGCCAUUCAUUCAUGUAACUGUUGUUUGUUAGCAGACCAUAUGUUUCUAGUUCUAUUUUUGGUUUCUAACGCGAUAUUUAAUCUUAGAAUGAAUGUAAUUCUAUGAAAGGGUGGAGUAGAUGUAUUUGUCAACAAGAUUCUGACCGGAAUCCAACAGAGAAACUUAAAGGUAAAUAAUACAUUUUCUUUUCAUUGCAAACAAUGAAAUUCCAUGCCAAGAAAUAGUUAUAUCGCUUCAAUAGAUUCGACAUGAUGUUUUGAAAUAAGUCCACUUGUUCUUAGUUAGUUGUUUAUUGAUUAAAUUGUAUGGGUUUCUUUAGGCAAUAUCAGUAGACAAUAAAAAGCACAAGUCAUUUUUAUUGAAAUCCUUCGCCAUUGUUAAUGUCUGUUGACAAAUUAAAUGAUGUUUAUGUUAAUCGAUAACUUUUAAUAAGACGCCCCCUGGAUUGACUUGUGUUAAUUUGAGCCAAAUCGUUUAAAUAUUUUCAUCUUUUGAUGAAUUCAAGUUGUAAAUCUGAGCAGGUGGAGUUGAGUGAUAGAAGCUUUUGAUGAUUUAUUCUUCUAAGGUUUACUUUUAUGUCCCAAUAAUUGUUUUAUUUGGUGCCAACCUAGAAAAUUUAGUGCAGAUUUAAUUGUUUAUGAUUCCUAAAUGUUUAUCUAAAAGCAAGCAGCAUUACAAAACUUGAUUAAUCCAUGCCUUUUUGUAAAUAUGAUUCUAUGAAUCUGUUGAUGCACUAACAAUGGUUGGUUUUAAGUUAAAUGUGACAUUGGGAAAAUAUUUUAAAAACGUGGAAUUAUUAUGUACCAAGAGUAAAGGUGGGAUUAUUGUGUACAAGAUUGUAAACGUGGGAUUAUUAAAAACCAAUUUUCCUUAGUUUUUCUAUAAAAAUAUUGGCCUGCUAGUGUAAAACUUUAUUAAUUCUUUUUGUAAAAUGAUUUUUUGCACUAUUAUGACUAGAGUUUAAUAAAUAUUUGUUGAAAACUAAAUUCUAUAUCGGAGAUGAAGUUUUUCUCAAAAGCAUUCUAAACUCUACCGAGACUGUAGCAAGAGUAAGGGUCUAGAGCUUGGACCCAAAUGAUCUAGUUGGUGGUACAAAGAUUAGACCAGAAUGGUGUGAGUAAACGUUCAAAUACCAAUAAAAAAAGAUGAAAACUUGGUAAGACUAUAUGGUUUAUUUUCUACAAUUCAAGAUUGUAUUGGUGCAUCCAUCGCAUGGCCCUAUCCAUUCAUCUCGGUAGUCCAUGAGGAUUGAGGACACAUGAUGACCCAAGAUUUAUGCUUCUUAUUUCUUUAAUUCCUUUUAAUUUCUUUGUUAAAUGUUAAGACUUUAUGAUAGAUAAUGUUAUAACUUAUUUAUGGUUAGUGUUUUUGUUAUGAACAUGCUUAUUUGAAAUGUAAUGAAAUUUUAUUUCUU